CCUCUCGUCAGCGCCGCCAUUGCCGGUCACAUGACUGAGGCUGUUGCUGGGAUGACGGUCCGGGCCUUAGCAACAAGGCGGGGGGAGACCCCGAGAAGGUGGGGGGUUGCAGGGGGUGCAGGCUGAUGGAAAGGGAAGGAGGGAGGACAGCACCCCCUUUCCCCUCACAGGUGAUAAUCACCGUUCCCUUUGACCCCCCUCUAUCCGCAAGCCCCUGCUCUUCCUCCCCAAAACAAAAAUGGAGGAGCUGUCCCAGUCUUUGGAGGGAGGGGGUGGCGUCACGGAACUGAGGGUAGGAGGUUAAAUCCCUGGAGACGCCACCCUUCUCGCUCCCGCCUCCCGGCGGAGCACUCUCCCUUUUCUUUCCCAGCCAGCUGCGUAGCAGCUCCCGGGAGCUGGUGGUGGAUGGGGGGGAGAAGUGUUGAUUGUUACCUCCUGUGACCCCCACAACCUGCUCUCAGAUGGUCGUUGAUGGACUCUCACU